AUUGAACGCUGGCGGCAGGCCUAACACAUGCAAGUCGAACGGAGCGGCGGACGGGUGAGUAAUGCCUAGGAAUCUGCCUGGUAGUGGGGGAUAAAGUCCGGAAAUGGGAGCUAAUACCGCAUAAUAUCAGAUGCGCCUCUGUCGGAUUAGAUAGGUGGUGGGGUAAAGGCCUACCAAGGCGACGAUCCGUAACGGGUCUGAGAGGAUGAUCAGUCACACUGGAACGGAGACACGGUCCAGACUCCUACGGGAGGCAGCAGUGGGGAAUAUUUGACAAUGGGCGAAAGCCUGAGCCAGCCACGCCGCGUGUGUGAAGAAGGUCUUCGGAUUGUAAAGCACUGUAGGUUGGGAGGCGUUACCAACAGAAGAAGCACCGGCUAACUUCGUGCCAGCAGCCGCGGUAAUUC
rnacentral:rRNA from 1 species